GACGAACGCUGGCGGCGUGCUUAACACAUGCAAGUCGAACGGUGAAGCGCCUUCCUUUUUGGUGGGUGUGGAUGAGUGGCGAACGGGUGAGUAACACGUGAGUAACCUGCCCCCUUCUUCUGGAUAACCGCAUGAAAGUGUGGCUAAUACGGGAUAUUCUGGGUCUGUCGCAUGAUGGGUCUGGGAAAGAUAUUGUUUCGGUGGGGGAUGGGCUCGCGGCCUAUCAGCUUGUUGGUGGGGUGAUGGCCUACCAAGGCGGUGACGGGUAGCCGGCCUGAGAGGGUGGACGGUCACACGGGGACUGAGACACGGCCAAGACUCCUACGGGAGGCAGCAGUGGGGAAUAUUGCACAAUGGGCGGAAGGCUGAUGCAGCGACGCCGCGUGAGGGAUGGAGGCCUUCGGGUUGUGAACCUCUUUCGCCAGUGAAGCAGGCCUGCCUCGUUUGUGGGUGGGUUGACGGUAGCUGGAUAAGAAGCGCCGGCUAACUACGUG
rnacentral:rRNA from 1 species